rnacentral:snRNA from 1 species
AGCUUUGCUCAGUGGCCGUAUCAUCGCCAAUGAGGUUUAUCUGAGGCGCGAUUAUUGCUAAUAGAAUUUACCAAAUAUAAGAUCAUAUCACCUGCAAACAAAGACAAUUUUACUUCUUUCUUUCUGAUUUGAAUUUCUUUAUAAGUAUUAGCAUU